AUACUUACCUGGACGGGGUUGACGGCUGAUCAAGGAGAGUCGUGGCCAAGGCUAGUGGUCCACAUUGUAUUUGGUGGAUGCGCUAGCUUACCAUCUUCCCAAGUGGGAGAGUGGAUGUCAUAAUUUGUGGUAGAGGGGGUACCCGUUCGUGCGGUCCUUGC